UACGAAGGGGGGCUAGCGUUGUUCGGAUUUACUGGGCGUAAAGCGCACGUAGGCGGAUCGUUAAGUCGGGGGUGAAAUCCUGGAGCUCAACUCCAGAACUGCCUUCGAUACUGGCGAUCUUGAGUCCGGAAGAGGUGAGUGGAACUCCUAGUGUAGAGGUGGAAUUCGUAGAUAUUAGGAAGAACACCAGUGGCGAAGGCGGCUCACUGGUCCGGUACUGACGCUGAGGUGCGAAAGCGUGGGUAGCAAACAGG
rnacentral:rRNA from 1 species